rfam:Triticum aestivum genome assembly, contig: Triticum_aestivum_CS42_TGACv1_scaffold_032082_1BL
AAAAUACUCCCUCCGUCCCAAAAUUCCCGUCUUAGAUUUAUCUAGAUAUGGAUGUAUCUUAGAUUUGCCUAGUCACGUUUUAGUGUUAGAUAAAACUAGAAACAUCCGUAUCUAGACAAAUCUAAGACGAGAAUUUUGGGACGGAGGCAAUAUAAA